rnacentral:rRNA from 1 species
GACGUAGGGCGCGAGCGUUGUCCGGAUUUAUUGGGCGUAAAGAGCUCGUAGGCGGUUUGUCGCGUCUGCUGUGAAAACUGGAGGCUCAACCUCCAGCCUGCAGUGGGUACGGGCAGACUAGAGUGCGGUAGGGGAGAUUGGAAUUCCUGGUGUAGCGGUGGAAUGCGCAGAUAUCAGGAGGAACACCGAUGGCGAAGGCAGAUCUCUGGGCCGUAACUGACGCUGAGGAGCGAAAGCAUGGGGAGCGAACAGG